rnacentral:rRNA from 1 species
GAUGAACGCUGGCGGCGUGCCUAAUACAUGCAAGUCGAGCGAACGGACGAGAAGCUUGCUUUUCUGAUGUUAGCGGCGGACGGGUGAGUAACACGUGGAUAACCUACCUAUAAGACUGGGAUAACUUCGGGAAACCGGAGCUAAUACCGGAUAAUAUUUUGAACCGCAUGGUUCAAAAGUGAAAGACGGUCUUGCUGUCACUUAUAGAUGGAUCCGCGCUGCAUUAGCUAGUUGGUAAGGUAACGGCUUACCAAGGCAACGAUGCAUAGCCGACCUGAGAGGGUGAUCGGCCACACUGGAACUGAGACACGGUCCAGACUCCUACGGGAGGCAGCAGUAGGGAAUCCUCCGCAAUGGGCGAAAGCCUGACGGAGCAACGCCGCGUGAGUGAUGAAGGUCUUCGGAUCGUAAAACUCUGUUAUUAGGGAAGAACAUAUGUGUAAGUAACUGUGCACAUCUUGACGGCACCUAAUCAGAAAGCCACGGCUAACUACGUG